rnacentral:rRNA from 1 species
UACGUAGGGGGCGAGCGUUGUCCGGAGUUACUGGGCGUAAAGCGCUUGUAGGCGGUCCACCAAGUUUGGGGUGACAGUUGCCGACUUAAUCGGCAAAGUGCCUCAAAGACUGGCGGACUUGAGGGCCACAGAGGGACAUGGAACUCCAGGUGUAGUGGUGAAGUGCGUAGAUAUCUGGAAGAACACCAAAGGCGAAGGCAGUGUCCUGGGUGGUCGCUGACGCUGAGAGGCGAAAGCCAGGGGAGCGAACGGG